rnacentral:rRNA from 1 species
UACGUAGGUGGCAAGCGUUGUCCGGAUUUAUUGGGUUUAAAGGGUGCGUAGGCGGCCUUGUAAGUCAGUGGUGAAAUACUCCAGCUUAACUGGAGGGGUGCCAUUGAUACUGCAGGGCUUGAGUACAGAUGAAGUAGGCGGAAUUGACGGUGCAGCGGUGAAAUGCAUAGAUAUCGUCAAGAACUCCGAUAGCGAAGGCAGCUUACUAAGCUGUAACUGACGCUGAGGCACGAAAGUGUGGGGAUCAAACAGG